AUGGCAACAUGGAAUGGUGUAGGUCAAGUGGCCAGUGUUGCGCAACUAGCAGGGAUAGAUGCAUAUGGGCUGAUCAAGAUGAUUGUGGAGGCAGUGCAGACCGUUAGGAGGAACAAGGAGACCUGCCAAAAGCUCGCGCGACGCGUCAAGAUGAUAGGUGACCUUCUGCAGGAGCUUCAUGAGGCACAAUUGAUGCAACACCGAGAUACGAGGAACCCAGUGGAUCAGCUGGAGGAGACACUUCGGCGAGUUUUGAUGCUUAUCACAACCUGCCAGGACAGCAGCUUCAUGUAUCACUGCUUCACCGGAGGUAAUCAGGCUUGCCAGUUACGUGAGGUGGAGAAUGAUAUCGCCUUCUACCUCCAGAUUUUCCCCCUUGUGAGCCAUGUUGAUACUUCCCGUACCUUGGUGCUGCAUUUGAGCAGAGGUCAACCUUCACCUACAGAGGAGUAUGCAGAGGAGGCGCAGAUACUAAAAGAUGAUUCAGGCCAUGCAACUUCACCUAGGAUUGAAGCCACAGCUGAGACACUUGAAUCAAGACUUCAGGGAGUAAACAGGAAUUUGCCAGGAAGCAAUAUUUUCUAUGGAUCACAAAAAAGCAAGGUUAAACGGCUUGCUGUGGGCAAGGACAUACUUGUAAAACUAUUCUGUGCUGCAAGACGUUCAAGAUUAUUGCUGUUCAAUCUUUCUCAGGUCGAAAGGUAUACAGAAAAUUUCAAAUGGGAUAAUGUGGUUGGAUGUGGUGCUUUUGGCUAUGUUUACAAGGGAAAACUACCUAGCGGGAUUGAGAUUGCGGUCAAAAGAUUUGCAACAUCAUCAACUCAAGGUUCAGCAGAAUUCUCUGCUGAGAUUGAAACAAUUGCAAAUCUUCAACAUAGAAAUGUAAUAAGGCUACUUGGGUUUUGCAUUCAAAGAGAAAAGGACUUUCUGGGAUUUCAGAUUCAGCAGGAAGAGAUGAUUUUAGUUUACGAAUACAUGCCAAACAAGAGCUUGGCCUCUUUUCUCUACAGCUAUACAAAGACGGGAGAAUCACUUAAUUGGUCUAAGCGCCUCGAUAUAAUUGAAGGGAUAGCUCAGGGUCUUGUUUACCUCCAUGACCUAUCGUCUCACCAAUGUGUUGUCCACAUGGAUUUGAAAGCCAAUAAUAUAUUGUUAGAUUAUGAAAUGAACCCUAAGAUUUCUGAUUUUGGGAUGGCUAGGAUAUUACCUUCUAGCGGGACUGAAGAGACUUCGGACACUGCUAAAGGCACAACUGGUUAUAUGGAUCCAGAAUAUAUCAGGUCUGGGAAAUUCUCAGCGAAGUCUGAUGUGUAUAGCUUCGGCAUCAUGAUUCUUGAGAUCGUAAGUCGAAAGAAAUGUCUUUCUUUAUUAUCCAAUGGAGAUAUGAUGGAUCUACCGACGCGUGUCUGGGAGCUAUGGAAAGCAGGAAAGCCCCACGAGCUUGCUGAUGUAUCAUCGCCAAGUAAUGACCAACAAACGGCUCAGAUCAUCAGAUGCAUUCAUGUGGCACUGCUGUGUAUUCAAGACUGUCCGAUGCACCGGCCUACCAUGUUGGAUGUGCUUCUGAUGCUACGCAGCGAGAGCUUCGCCAGCUUACCUACACCUAGCGUGCCAGUCCACCACACAGAUGAGCAUCAAGCUGAAGCCCUGACGCUCGAGGGGUUCUGGGAGGUGAACGUACCAUUACAACCUGUUCAGGAGAUGGUCACUUCGUAG
rnacentral:rRNA from 1 species